CUCGCCAGUAGUACACGGUGCUGCACUGGUCAUGAGGCUUCAGCCGCCAGACACAGAGGUCAGCUCUAGCCAGCUCGAGUGGGGGGAGUGGAGGUGCAGAGCCACGUGAUGACAGGUCAACAUGGAGAGGGAGGGGCUUCAGGAAAGGGUGACGCUGGACAGACAAAAAGUCACAGAGGCCCGCGAGGAAGAGACAGGGAAGGAGAGAAAGGGCCCGUUUCUGCGUCGAAUAUCCCUCUCCCAGCCUCCCCUGCAUCCUGCUUGACAGCCCCAGAGCCGCCACUGAUGCAGGCGCUUCUGAAUGUCUCAUCGCAACCCUAUUUCAACGUUGAUUUAUAGGCAA